GACAGAGGGUGCAAACGUUGUUCGGAAUUACUGGGCGUAAAGCGCGUGUAGGCGGCCCGGAAAGUCAGAUGUGAAAGCCCUCGGCUUAACCGAGGAAGUGCGUCUGAAACUGCUGAGCUUGAGUCUCGGAGAGGAUGGCGGAAUUCCGCAAGUAGAGGUGAAAUUCGUAGAUAUGCGGAGGAACACCGGUGGCGAAGGCGGCCAUCUGGACGAGUACUGACGCUGAGACGCGAAAGCGUGGGGAGCAAACAGG
rnacentral:rRNA from 1 species